UUAAGCGACUAAGCGUACACGGUGGAUGCCCUGGCAGUCAGAGGCGAUGAAGGACGUGCUAAUCUGCGAUAAGCGUCGGUAAGGUGAUAUGAACCGUUAUAACCGGCGAUUUCCGAAUGGGGAAACCCAGUGUGAUUCGUCACACUAUCAUUAACUGAAUCCAUAGGUUAAUGAGGCGAACCGGGGGAACUGAAACAUCUAAGUACCCCGAGGAAAAGAAAUCAACCGAGAUUCCCCCAGUAGCGGCGAGCGAACGGGGAGGAGCCCAGAGCCUGAAUCAGUGUGUGUGUUAGUGGAAGCGUCUGGAAAGGCGCGCGAUACAGGGUGACAGCCCCGUACACAAAAAUGCACAUGCUGUGAGCUCGAUGAGUAGGGCGGGACACGUGGUAUCCUGUCUGAAUAUGGGGGGACCAUCCUCCAAGGCUAAAUACUCCUGACUGACCGAUAGUGAACCAGUACCGUGAGGGAAAGGCGAAAAGAACCCCGGCGAGGGGAGUGAAAAAGAACCUGAAACCGUGUACGUACAAGCAGUGGGAGCACGCUUAGGCGUGUGACUGCGUACCUUUUGUAUAAUGGGUCAGCGACUUAUAUUCUGUAGCAAGGUUAACCGAAUAGGGGAGCCGAAGGGAAACCGAGUCUUAACUGGGCGUUAAGUUGCAGGGUAUAGACCCGAAACCCGGUGAUCUAGCCAUGGGCAGGUUGAAGGUUGGGUAACACUAACUGGAGGACCGAACCGACUAAUGUUGAAAAAUUAGCGGAUGACUUGUGGCUGGGGGUGAAAGGCCAAUCAAACCGGGAGAUAGCUGGUUCUCCCCGAAAGCUAUUUAGGUAGCGCCUCGUGAAUUCAUCUCCGGGGGUAGAGCACUGUUUCGGCAAGGGGGUCAUCCCGACUUACCAACCCGAUGCAAACUGCGAAUACCGGAGAAUGUUAUCACGGGAGACACACGGCGGGUGCUAACGUCCGUCGUGAAGAGGGAAACAACCCAGACCGCCAGCUAAGGUCCCAAAGUCAUGGUUAAGUGGGAAACGAUGUGGGAAGGCCCAGACAGCCAGGAUGUUGGCUUAGAAGCAGCCAUCAUUUAAAGAAAGCGUAAUAGCUCACUGGUCGAGUCGGCCUGCGCGGAAGAUGUAACGGGGCUAAACCAUGCACCGAAGCUGCGGCAGCGACGCUUAUGCGUUGUUGGGUAGGGGAGCGUUCUGUAAGCCUGCGAAGGUGUGCUGUGAGGCAUGCUGGAGGUAUCAGAAGUGCGAAUGCUGACAUAAGUAACGAUAAAGCGGGUGAAAAGCCCGCUCGCCGGAAGACCAAGGGUUCCUGUCCAACGUUAAUCGGGGCAGGGUGAGUCGACCCCUAAGGCGAGGCCGAAAGGCGUAGUCGAUGGGAAACAGGUUAAUAUUCCUGUACUUGGUGUUACUGCGAAGGGGGGACGGAGAAGGCUAUGUUGGCCGGGCGACGGUUGUCCCGGUUUAAGCGUGUAGGCUGGUUUUCCAGGCAAAUCCGGAAAANAAGGCUGAGGCGUGAUGACGAGGCACUACGGUGCUGAAGCAACAAAUGCCCUGCUUCCAGGAAAAGCCUCUAAGCAUCAGGUAACAUCAAAUCGUACCCCAAACCGACACAGGUGGUCAGGUAGAGAAUACCAAGGCGCUUGAGAGAACUCGGGUGAAGGAACUAGGCAAAAUGGUGCCGUAACUUCGGGAGAAGGCACGCUGAUAUGUAGGUGAAGCGACUUGCUCGUGGAGCUGAAAUCAGUCGAAGAUACCAGCUGGCUGCAACUGUUUAUUAAAAACACAGCACUGUGCAAACACGAAAGUGGACGUAUACGGUGUGACGCCUGCCCGGUGCCGGAAGGUUAAUUGAUGGGGUCAGCGCAAGCGAAGCUCUUGAUCGAAGCCCCGGUAAACGGCGGCCGUAACUAUAACGGUCCUAAGGUAGCGAAAUUCCUUGUCGGGUAAGUUCCGACCUGCACGAAUGGCGUAAUGAUGGCCAGGCUGUCUCCACCCGAGACUCAGUGAAAUUGAACUCGCUGUGAAGAUGCAGUGUACCCGCGGCAAGACGGAAAGACCCCGUGAACCUUUACUAUAGCUUGACACUGAACAUUGAGCCUUGAUGUGUAGGAUAGGUGGGAGGCUUUGAAGUGUGGACGCCAGUCUGCAUGGAGCCGACCUUGAAAUACCACCCUUUAAUGUUUGAUGUUCUAACGUUGACCCGUGAUCCGGGUUGCGGACAGUGUCUGGUGGGUAGUUUGACUGGGGCGGUCUCCUCCUAAAGAGUAACGGAGGAGCACGAAGGUUGGCUAAUCCUGGUCGGACAUCAGGAGGUUAGUGCAAUGGCAUAAGCCAGCUUGACUGCGAGCGUGACGGCGCGAGCAGGUGCGAAAGCAGGUCAUAGUGAUCCGGUGGUUCUGAAUGGAAGGGCCAUCGCUCAACGGAUAAAAGGUACUCCGGGGAUAACAGGCUGAUACCGCCCAAGAGUUCAUAUCGACGGCGGUGUUUGGCACCUCGAUGUCGGCUCAUCACAUCCUGGGGCUGAAGUAGGUCCCAAGGGUAUGGCUGUUCGCCAUUUAAAGUGGUACGCGAGCUGGGUUUAGAACGUCGUGAGACAGUUCGGUCCCUAUCUGCCGUGGGCGCUGGAGAACUGAGGGGGGCUGCUCCUAGUACGAGAGGACCGGAGUGGACGCAUCACUGGUGUUCGGGUUGNACCCCAAACCGACACAGGUGGUCAGGUAGAGAAUACCAAGGCGCUUGAGAGAACUCGGGUGAAGGAACUAGGCAAAAUGGUGCCGUAACUUCGGGAGAAGGCACGCUGAUAUGUAGGUGAAGUCCCUCGCGGAUGGAGCUGAAAUCAGUCGAAGAUACCAGCUGGCUGCAACUGUUUAUUAAAAACACAGCACUGUGCAAACACGAAAGUGGACGUAUACGGUGUGACGCCUGCCCGGUGCCGGAAGGUUAAUUGAUGGGGUUAGCGCAAGCGAAGCUCUUGAUCGAAGCCCCGGUAAACGGCGGCCGUAACUAUAACGGUCCUAAGGUAGCGAAAUUCCUUGUCGGGUAAGUUCCGACCUGCACGAAUGGCGUAAUGAUGGCCAGGCUGUCUCCACCCGAGACUCAGUGAAAUUGAACUCGCUGUGAAGAUGCAGUGUACCCGCGGCAAGACGGAAAGACCCCGUGAACCUUUACUAUAGCUUGACACUGAACAUUGAGCCUUGAUGUGUAGGAUAGGUGGGAGGCUUGGAAGUGUGGACGCCAGUCUGCAUGGAGCCGACCUUGAAAUACCACCCUUUAAUGUUUGAUGUUCUAACGUUGACCCGUAAUCCGGGUUGCGGACAGUGUCUGGUGGGUAGUUUGACUGGGGCGGUCUCCUCCUAAAGAGUAACGGAGGAGCACGAAGGUUGGCUAAUCCUGGUCGGACAUCAGGAGGUUAGUGCAAUGGCAUAAGCCAGCUUGACUGCGAGCGUGACGGCGCGAGCAGGUGCGAAAGCAGGUCAUAGUGAUCCGGUGGUUCUGAAUGGAAGGGCCAUCGCUCAACGGAUAAAAGGUACUCCGGGGAUAACAGGCUGAUACCGCCCAAGAGUUCAUAUCGACGGCGGUGUUUGGCACCUCGAUGUCGGCUCAUCACAUCCUGGGGCUGAAGUAGGUCCCAAGGGUAUGGCUGUUCGCCAUUUAAAGUGGUACGCGAGCUGGGUUUAGAACGUCGUGAGACAGUUCGGUCCCUAUCUGCCGUGGGCGCUGGAGAACUGAGGGGGGCUGCUCCUAGUACGAGAGGACCGGAGUGGACGCAUCACUGGUGUUCGGGUUGUCAUGCCAAUGGCACUGCCCGGUAGCUAAAUGCGGAAGAGAUAAGUGCUGAAAGCAUCUAAGCACGAAACUUGCCCCGAGAUGAGUUCUCCCUGACUCCUUGAGAGUCCUGAAGGAACGUUGAAGACGACGACGUUGAUAGGCCGGGUGUGUAAGCGCAGCGAUGCGUUGAGCUAACCGGUACUAAUGAACCGUGAGGCUUAACCUU
rnacentral:rRNA from 1 species